CCAAGCAGGAGAAUAACACUACAAACCACAACAACAUGACUCCAACAAACUGAGUGACAUCACAAGCACUGAAAACAAGGCAUUUUAAUUGGGGGCUUUGUUAGUAAUAUUUGGAAUGAAUGACUGAAACGUUCCGACUGGUUGACAAGGUAACAACACUGCCAACAGAAUCAACUGAAAGGUCGAUUCCACGGCACCUUCUUCGCUUCUUGCUGCUUGGCGGAGUGCGCGCAGCGGUGCGUCGAGAGGGUGAGGGUCUCCUGCGUCACAGUGGAAACCGGAGGCUCAAGAUCUCAUCGCAAAAGUCCACUUCAUGAAAGUCUUCAAAGUCUGAUCCAGGAACGAGGCAGCGCGUGAUGAAGUCCAGCCCGUUCGCUGUGAAGGACGCAAAGUGAUGCUGAGAGUCAAGACGUGCGUGAUUCGCGCGUUCACAGGAGUGUUCCUGAGCGAGGCCAAGUGAUGCUUUCCUCCACCCCAAAGAGACGUCGCUGCAAUGAUGCAACAAAUCAGACAGGUUUUUCUUUGACAGUUUGCUGUUUGAACUUGCUUUUUUCCUGCAUUAACUGGUGAGCUCUGCAGCAAGGAGGUUCAGUCAGGUGUUAGUGUUCGGAUAUGAUACAACACUCAGUAUAGUUGGCUGUUCCUGGCUGACUCCAUCAUCUGCUGUAUCUAGUAAACAGAAAUUGAAUUUGGAUUGUCAUGUAGUGCUCCCCUCUGUGCCUCAAUUUACUGCUGUGACAUGAGUUGCCAAGGCCUGAGGCACUUGAGAGGAUAGUUAUGAUCAAAGAUUUGUGGCGCCACUCGGGUGUGACCGCUGGUAAAGGACAAUGGCGAUGUGCAAAUCACAUUCAUGAAGUUUGGAUACAAACUCAAGGUAAUAUCUGCACAGACAUACAAAGAGGUUUGUUUAGGCCAAGUCCAAAUAUUCAAAUGAUCAGUUUACAACAAGGUCAAUAAUGAAAAACAAUUACUCAUGACAGAAUUUUCAUUAAUGCACAAUAAAAGCAAAGCAAUGUUAGCACUCACAUCCAGCGCAGAUUUCACAGUAGCUGUGAUCUCCUUCAUCCACCACCAUCAUCAGAGCACUCUGGCUCUUUCCCAUCUCCAUGGAGAGAUGAUUGGCGUGUACUUAUAAAGUAUGUGGUGGUGUGAACUAGA